rnacentral:rRNA from 1 species
GCUGUCGUCAGCUCGUGUUGUGAAAUGUUGGGUUAAGUCCCGCAACGAGCGCAACCCUUAUCCUUUGUUGCCAGCGGUCCGGCCGGGAACUCAAAGGAGACUGCCAGUGAUAAACUGGAGGAAGGUGGGGAUGACGUCAAGUCAUCAUGGCCCUUACGACCAGGGCUACACACGUGCUACAAUGGCGCAUACAAAGAGAAGCGACCUCGCGAGAGCAAGCGGACCUCAUAAAGUGCGUCGUAGUCCGGAUUGGAGUCUGCAACUCGACUCCAUGAAGUCGGAAUCGCUAGUAAUCGUGGAUCAGAAUGCCACGGUGAAUACGUUCCCGGGCCUUGUACACACCGCCCGUCACACCAUGGGAGUGGGUUGCAAAAGAAGUAGGUAGCUUAACCUUCGGGAGGGCGCU